GCCAUCUUAGCUCAGCUGGUAGAGCAGCUGUUUCGUAAAUAGCAGGCCGUGGGUUCGAGUCCCAUAGAUGGCU
rnacentral:tRNA from 1 species